rnacentral:lncRNA from 1 species
UUGAUGCAAUCAGUGAAGGAGAUUCAGAUUCAGAAUGGCUAUGCUUUGUGACGCAUGGAGAGACUAGUCAAAAUUGUACUACUGUGGAGGUUCCUAGUAUUGUUCAUUUGUCAAAGGAAAUUGUUUUAUUUUUUCAAAUAAUUCCUUUCACUCUGCCCAAGGCGAAAGUGACAUUUUUCGGGCGCCCUUUGUUUCAAAAUUUAAGAUCAUUAAUAAAAA